UACGUAGGGUGCGAGCGUUAAUCGGAAUUACUGGGCGUAAAGCGGGCGCAGACGGUUACUUAAGCAGGAUGUGAAAUCCCCGGGCUCAACCUGGGAACUGCGUUCUGAACUGGGUGACUAGAGUGUGUCAGAGGGAGGUAGAAUUCCACGUGUAGCAGUGAAAUGCGUAGAGAUGUGGAGGAAUACCGAUGGCGAAGGCAGCCUCCUGGGAUAACACUGACGUUCAUGCCCGAAAGCGUGGGUAGCAAAC
rnacentral:rRNA from 1 species